CAGGGAGACAACAAAAUGUUAAAUAUUAAUUUUGUCACCUUAGGUCGAUCGGUAUCUCACAUCCUUAAUUAAUUUAAGGAUUUUAUUUCCUAAGUUUUUUCUAGGUCACACCCAUUACUUUUUCCUGGGCCAUUAGCUCAGGUGGUUAGAGCGCACCCCUGAUAAGGGUGAGGUCCCUGGUUCAAGUCCAGGAUGGCCCAUAUCUCUAUGUUGGGGGUAUAGCUCAGUUGGUAGAGCGCCUGCUUUGCAAGCAGGAUGUCAGCGGUUCGAGUCCGCUUACCUCCACUGAUCACCACCUCUUCCAUAAUUUUAUAGAAGGGAAUUGUUUUGAGUUGUGAUCAAAUUCUGAACGAAUCUAGCUUCCUAAUCAAACUUAUUAAGAUGCUGGACUCAUUGAAUUAAUUUCAUUGUUUUCAGAGAACCUUGACAACUGCAUAGAUUAUUUUUAAAGACAAUAAGCAUCUUUAAUGAUGCAGAUUUAUUAUUUGUGCGAAUGCAUUAAUAACAAUUCUAUUAAGCUGAUGCUUCAAUUUUUGAAGUUAUU
rnacentral:tRNA from 1 species